CUUAUAAGCAUAAAAUCAUAAGAAAAGCGAUGAAUAGAGCCUCUCCGGAGCUUGAAUCUCCAGUGAGAACUCUAGCAACCAACCUCUGGUGAGUUCUUUAACUUUAUCUAUGUCUCUCUGUUGCUGCUUUCUUCCUUCUACUCUUUCUGCUUGCGUGUUUGUGGUUUCCAACGAGAAUGAGUGUUAGGUUUGCUCAGAGCUAACUCAGGUUCAGAUGAUGAACCUGAGUAGUUCUUGAUCAGAGCUCUGAAGUGAGAGGGUUAGGACUUUUAGAAGAGGUUUAGUGGAGGGGAUUUCAUGUCCUUCAUUGAGUGAAUGUGAGGGAUUUUAUAGCUGAAGGGAUGAAAAAGAGAGGAAAGAUGAGAGUUGGUUGGAUCAAAUUGGGGGGAAUGGUUGAGAUUGAUUUUGAUGAAAAAGUUUGUUGUGAUUUGUGUUUGUUUGAGUGAAAGGGAUAUAUGAAUCAUGGUGAGUUUGGGAAUGUAUGUUGAAUGAGAAAUGAGGGAUGAAUCAAGGUCACAAGUUUGAUGUAACUGUGAACUAUUUUGCUUUGAUUUUGUUUUUGAUUAAUUCAAUUUUGUAUGUCUAUGUGUGCCGAUAAUUUUGGUAUGGAAUGACUAUGUUGUUGAAUGCUGCACAUGCUUGAUGACCGCAAUUUAUUUUACUUUGUGAUUCAAUUUUAAUUGUUAUGGGAUGUGUACGUGAUUAUGGAUGAUGAUCCGAUAUGUUUGAAUUGAUGAUUAGGAAAGUCACGUGCUUUGUUGUUGCUCAGUUUGUUUUCAUUCUUUUCAAUUCUAUUAAAAGAAUAUGGAUGUAUGUAUCUUGGACUUUGAUGAUUGAUGAUGAUUGUGAUAUUAAGCCAUGUACUUGCCUUGCUUGUGUUUGCUCUUCAUUAUGCUUAUUUCCUUGUGUUUGGUUCAUUUGCAUGUCAUGAUAUUUGGUAUGGAGAUGAAGAUGAGAUUGUGGUGAUGGGAAUGAAGAGGAAAUUUGUGUGGGGACCUCCAACAAACCUGGAUAAUCCUUUUUUCUAUUUUUUAAUGUAAUUUUCUAAUCUUUUUUAUUAAAAAAAAAGAAAUGUAAUAAAACUUAUUUUUAUUUUCUAUUGGUUCUAUUUGUGUAUUAUUUACUUUAUCCAAAUGAUGUAAAAAUGAAAUGUCUAUGUAAAAAAUGCAUCCUUUUUAUGGAAACUUGCUCAAAGAUGGCUAGUUCUAAA
rnacentral:lncRNA from 1 species